rnacentral:rRNA from 1 species
UCCGAAGGGUGCAAGCGUUACUCGGAAUUACUGGGCGUCAAGGGUGCGUAGGUGGUUUGUUAAGUCUGCUGUGAAAUCCCCGGGCUCAACCUGGGAAUGGCAGUGGAUACUGGCAAGCUAGAGUGCGGUAGAGGGUAGUGGAAUUCCCGGUGUAGCAGUGAAAUGCGUAGAGAUCGGGAGGAACACCAGUGGCGAAGGCGGCUACCUGGACCAGCACUGACACUGAAGCACGAAAGCGUGGGGAGCAAACAGG